UCGCUUAGGCAAGGCAUACCGGCAUAGGUCCCGUGGUUUCACUGGUUUCGCGCGCUUUCUCGGUGUUUUCGAAGUUGGACUCGUGGAUCCGGUCUGCAUUUCAGUCGAAGAGCUUACGCUUGGCGGGAAGCGCGCCAUGGAAAGCGAAUACGAAAGUGACCCCUUUGUCGUGGUGUCUUUUCCUCAAGAGGAGGACAUUUUGGUCAUCAUUCACAAGUCAUGGCUGAAAGAAGACCACCGCUCUACAUUUUGGCCAAUAGAAAGAAACCCUGGAAAACGGCGAAAACUAACGAUGCAAGGCGCUAAACCAACAGGGUCCUGGAUUCAAGUGCAGUGCAUCGUCAAACGCUGGGCUAGUAAGGUUGCAUUUUACUUUCUCAGUUUCUGUGUAUUGAACAAGCUUUUUUC